rnacentral:rRNA from 1 species
UACAGAGGGUGCAAGCGUUAAUCGGAAUUACUGGGCGUAAAGCGUGCGUAGACGGUUGCGUAAGUCAGAUGUGAAAGCCCCGGGCUCAACCUGGGAAUUGCAUUUGAGACUGCGUAGCUAGGGUGCGGAAGAGGGAAGCGGAAUUUCCGGUGUAGCGGUGAAAGUGCGUAGAUAUCGGGAGGAACACCAGUGGCGAAGGCGACUUCCUGGCCUGUUCGUUGACGCUGAGGAGCGAAAGCCAGGGGAGCAAAGCGGG